CGGUCCAGACUCCUACGGGAGGCAGCAGUGGGGAAUAUUGCACAAUGGGCGCAAGCCUGAUGCAGCCAUGCCGCGUGUGUGAAGAAGGCCUUCGGGUUGUAAAGCACUUUCAGCGGGGAGGAAGGCGCUAAGGUUAAUAACCUUAGCGAUUGACGUUACCCGCAGAAGAAGCACCGGCUAACUCCGUGCCAGCAGCCGCGGUAAUACGGAGGGUGCAAGCGUUAAUCGGAAUUACUGGGCGUAAAGCGCACGCAGGCGGUCUGUCAAGUCGGA
rnacentral:rRNA from 1 species